rnacentral:rRNA from 1 species
AUUGAACGCUGGCGGCAGGCCUAACACAUGCAAGUCGAACGAGUGGCGGACGGGUGAGUAAUGUCUCGGAAACUGCCUGCUGGAGGGGGAUAACUACUGGAAACGGUAGCUAAUACCGCAUACCAUCGGAUGUGCCCAGAUGGGAUUAGCUAGUAGGUGGGGUAAAGGCUCACCUAGGCGACGAUCCCUAGCUGGUCUGAGAGGAUGACCAGCCAAACGGGAACUGAGAAACGGUCCAUACUCCUAGGGGAGGCAGCAGUGGGGAAAAUUGGACAAGGGGCGAAAGCAUGAUGCAGCCAUGCCGCGUGUAUGAAGAAGGCCUUCGGGUUGUAAAGUACUGUCAGCGGGGAGGCGUUACCCACAGAAGAAGCACCGGCUAAGUCCGUGCCAGCAGCCGCGGUAAUAC